CGCGAAUACUUCGUCUGCGGACAUGUUGAUCCAUGAGAAAGUCACGAUUAUUUUUCUAAUCCAUUGUCAAAGAAAAGUGUGCACAGACAGGUGAUUGGAGGCGGGCUACAGUGCAAAAGGAACCUCUCACCCAAACGUCACGUCAUUGGCGUCCACAGCCUGUUCGUAUUCUACAGUCCGAGGAUAUGGGUCCAAAAAAGAGACCUUCACUUGUGAGCAGCCCUGCCCAAUCAGAGGCAAAGAAAAUUUCAAAGAAAUAUCUCGGAAACCGAAUGAGUCCUGGGAAAAAACAGCGAGUGAGAAGGGCUCUGUACAGUCUGACUGUAAGUAAAGAUGUGUCGUUGCGGAAAGCUGCGUUGGAUAAUGAUCUGUCUUAUUCAAUGUUAUACAGACGAUGGAAAGGAGAAGUUGACAUUUUCAAAUUAAAUGGACCUAGCUCAAUUUUUAAUGAAGCUGAAGAAGAGAAAAUGGCGAGAUGGCUAA